rnacentral:rRNA from 1 species
UGGGGAAUCUUGCACAAUGGGCGAAAGCCUGAUGCAGCAACGCCGCGUGAGGGACGAAGGCUUUCUGAGUUGUAAACCUCUUUCAGUAGGGACGAUAAUGACGGUACCUGCAGAAGAAGCCCCGGCCAACUACGUGCCAGCAGCCGCGGUAAUACGUAGGGGGCAAGCGUUGUCCGGAUUUAUUGGGCGUAAAGAGCUCGUAGGCGGCUUGGCAAGUCGGAUGUGAAACCUCCAGGCUUAACCUGGAGUCGCCAUCCGAUACUGCCAUGGCUAGAGUUUGGUAGGGGACCACGGAAUUCCUGGUGUAGCGGUGAAAUGCGCAGAUAUCAGGAGGAACACCAGCGGCGAAGGCGGUGGUCUGGGCCAAUACUGACGCUGAGGAGCGAAAGCGUGGGGAGCGAACAGG